rnacentral:rRNA from 1 species
UACAGAGGGUGCAAGCGUUGUUCGGAAUUAUGGGCGUAAAGCGCGUGUAGGCGGCUUUGCAAGUCGGAUGUGAAAGCCCUCGGCUCAACCGAGGAAGUGCGUUCGAAACUGCAGACGCUUGAGUGCCGGAGAGGGUGGCGGAAUUCCCCAAGUAGAGGUGAAAUUCGUAGAUAUGGGGAGGAACACCGGUGGCGAAGGCGGC